AGGCUAGCGAAAUCUCGCGAGAAAGAAGUCACUGCCAGCGUCGGGUGAGAGGGAGGAACCUUAGCUGGCCGGCUCUCGCGAGAAUACCCAUCCCACGUUCCCAAAGAGCCACAGGUGACAGUAGUUGCAACGAACACUUCCGGCUUUCUCUCGGAACGGACCGCAGAGCGACGGCGAAGAAGGCGGGCGCGAGCCUUGGGCUGCGCGUGGAGCCAAUUCCUCUUCUGUGCUUCAUAGUCAACCUCCGUUCGUCCCUCACCGACAGACUCGGGAGGCCUGUUCGGCUGAGGAGGCGGAGGAAUUCUUCCCCAAUCAUGGAGUCCCCAGGGCGCCUGCCGGGCAUCGGGGUCACCAGGGUCCUCACGGACACGGAUUGGUCUGAACCCUGGAUUUUAACUCUAGUGUUUUUCCACAUAGUCUGCUUAUGUUUUACUUACCUUUCAUUGCAGCACUAUCAUUUCCAAAUAGGACUUUUUCUGUCUCUCAGUAAGUAUUAUGUGAAGAAUUUCUAUGGACAUAGUUCUUCUCUGAUUGACAAUGAGACAUAUUUUAAGGGUCAUGUAUGAAUGUUUUUCACUCAUUAAGAAUGCUUAGACUAUAAAGUCACAUUAAGCCAUGGUUUAUAGAAUAAAACACAGUUGGCUAAAUUCAUGCAAUAUACUAACCAGGGUUUAUAACCCCCGUAUUUGGACUUAUUGGAUAUACGAAACCACACCAAGCUCUAUAGUAUUAUUCAAAGGGAUACUGUAAUUUCUUUACAUUGAAUGGCCACAUUGGAUAUUUUAUGGCAUGAGAAUAGCUGUGGGUUGACUAGGGCAGUACCACCAAAUGGGCUCAAUUGGGGUAAGAAAUAGAAAUGUUUAAUGGAUUAA